rnacentral:misc_RNA from 1 species
GGAGAAAGAGCCCUAGUAGAAGGAGGAUAAAAAGAGUUUGCUAUCGCUGAAGCGGGCUACUGCUUCAUUGAAUUGUCUUGCUUCAUUAGAUGCGGUUACCCCUAAUUCUAAUAAAAGGUGGCGCCCUACAUACAUUGAGCGGACUUCAUUCCUUGGGCUUGUGCCCGAUCCGAUUAACAGCUUCAUCCCCCUUUUAUGGCCUUUUCCACCAAGGUUG